rnacentral:rRNA from 1 species
UUUUAUAACUUGUCAUGGGCGAAGCCUGAGCAGCCCUGCCGCGUGAGUGAUGAAGGUCCUAGGACUGUAAAGCUCCCUCGCCCGUGACGAUGAUGACGGUAACGGGAGAAGAACCCCGGCUAACUCUCGUGCCAGCAGCCGCGGUAAUACGAAGGGGGCUAGCGCUGUUCGGACUACCUGGGCGUAAAGCGCGCGUAGGCGGCUCCUGCAAGCCAGAGGUGAAAUGCCUUGAGCUUUAACUCUGGGAAUUGCCUUUUGGGAAUUGCGAGGCUUUCGAGGACUGGAGAGGUGAGUUGGAAUCUCCCAGUGGUAGAGGUUGAAAACUCGUAGAAUAUUUGGGAAGAACACCGGUUGGCGAAGGCGGCUUCACUUGGCCAGUUUUCUGACGCUUCAAGCCGCGAAAGCGUGGGGGUUCAAACAGGACUAGAUACCCUUGGUAGUCCACGCCUGUAAACAAUGAGUGCUAGGCGUCGGCACGUUUGCUUUUCGUUGCCGCACCUAACGCGUGAAGCAUUCCGCCUGGGGAUUACGGUCGCAGU